UGCAACACAAGAGUGAAAAGACUUGUGAAAAAGACUACCACAUCUGCAUCUGUCUGCCAAAGCCUUGAGUUACUACUGUCAUCACCACCUACCUCAUCCCAAGGUAAUCAUCAGAAACUACCAAGAGAAUACCAGGAUAUAUGAUUGACCACGAGAAAAUCUUUUAAAGUUUGGAUUAAUGCAAGAAUAGAAGUUCUUAUUUGAGACCCAAAUAUGGACUUUAAAAAGGAAGAUCUAGGACUUCUAAAGUUGAAUGCACAUUUGAGAACAAUUCAUGUGGCCAAUCCUGAAGGGCAUGAGCUGAGAGCAUGUAGACAUUUAGAGUCCAGACUGAAAUCCCACUGCCUAAAUUCAUAUCCUGCUACCUAUUAUCUCUGUGAUCUUCAGUAAGUU